UAAUCGAGUUAUCAGAUCAUUCGAUAACUCGAAAUGGGGUUGAAAGUGUUGACUCGGGAUCCGACAAUAGUCUCCGGGUCGGGUUUCACCUGGCCCUUAUAAUUCCAGGGUUGGGCUGGGUCAUCGGUUGGUCUGGGUUCAAAAACCUGAUGGACACCUAAGAAUCUUACCUUUCUUCUUCCUUGCAUAUACCUGUGACAUUUCUUCUCUUCGACCUCAACUAGGAGAUCUAUUCGACCUCAACUAGGGAUGUACAUCUCCCACGAGACCAAACCUUCCGUUCUCCUCUUGUCCUAAUUCAAUUCCGUUCUCCUCGUCCUUAGCAAGUAAUUAGGGCUAAAUCAAUUCCGCUCUCUUAGAAGAAUUGGAAAAAUGAGAGAUUUGGUUUAGGGCAAGAGAAGAAUGGGAGAUUCGGUUUCUUGGACAAAUUUCAUUAUUUAUUUAUUUUUUCUUGCAGGCCCAGGGUUUUUUCGGAGGACUCCAUCGGUGCUUGCUUCCCCUUUCCCGAUGGUGAGGCAGUGGUCAAUUCACAUUCUUAUGCCUCCAGUCCAAACACCAGUGAUCAAUUCACAUUCUUAUUUCUUAUCUUUUUUUCUUUCUGUUGAUGUUUUCAAUGGUGAAUUACGUUGUAAUAGACACGACAAAGGAUGUAGUUAUGAAAAAAAUAGUGGUGUGAAUAUAUUCCAUUAUUAUGAAAAUAAAAGAAUAAACACUUUUUUUUUUUUUAAUUUUAUGCUUUCAGUUUUAAGUGUUCAACCAAACAAGUUUCAAUUUUAUGUUUUAUGUUUUCGUUUUUUAUUUUUGUUUUCAAAAUUUUUAGAAGUGAUAUCAAACACAACUUUAAUUUUUGUAGUUCGAGCUCUCCCUGUGCUUAAACUGAAAGCUAGGGGGGUAUGAGUGGAACAAGAUGAUACCCAACAGAAUUUUUGCUAUUUGUAGCAUCCUUGCAAUUUAUUUUGACAGUCGAACAGUGUACUCAGACUUUUGGCCCAGGUCAGCUUCUUUUGCAAAGUUUGGUAUCGCCAUUGUAGGAUGAAGCUUUAAAAUAUAUGGUAUGUCCAAGUGAUUGGUAGUUAUGGUUCCCAUCUGAUCAUCGCUACUGUUGUUGAAUGUUUCAGAUGAGCUCGGUUGAUGCGGCUAUAGAUAAAAGGACAUCAGAAAGCAGGCUUGUUUUAGAUCAACUGCACUCUGCACUGACAUUUAAACAGCAAGGAUUCCUGGUCUCAUUCUUACAUUGCAUGAUGUGGUAUAAAAAAGAGUUGUAUUCUUUAUACCUUCCACUCUAGUUAUAUGUAUAUGCCAACAAUCCCUCAACCAAAGAUGCCAUGGUUUAGGCAUAUACUCAUCCCUGGUGAUACUCAUGGUUCGAGUCCUAUGUAAGUUAUAAUAAUUUAUCUCCCUGGCCCCCCCGUCUAGUUAUGGAGAUUGGAGAGGCUUCAUCUUA